rnacentral:rRNA from 1 species
CCUACGGGAGGCAGCAGUGAGGAAUAUUGGUCAAUGGACGAGAGUCUGAACCAGCCAAGUAGCGUGAAGGAUGACUGCCCUAUGGAUUGUAAACUUCUUUUAUCAAGGAAUAAAACGAGGCACGUGUGCCUUUUUGCGUGUACUUUAUGAAUAAGGAUCGGCUAACUCCGUGCCAGCAGCCGCGGUAAUACGGAGGAUCCGAGCGUUAUCCGGAUUUAUUGGGUUUAAAGGGUGCGUAGAUGGGUUGUUAAGUCAGUUGUGAAAGUUUGCGGCUCAACCGUAAAAUUGCAAUUGAUACUGGCAGUCUUGAGUAGAGUUGAGGUAGGCGGAAUUCGUGGUGUAGCGGUGAAAUGCUUAGAUAUCACGAAGAACCCCGAUUGCGAAGGCAGCUUACCAAACUGUGACUGACAUUGAUGCUCGAAAGUGUGGGUAUCAAACAGGAUUAGAUACCCCUGUAGUC